UGUCUGAGAGGAUGAUCCGCCACACUGGGACUGAGACACGGCCCAGACUCCUAUGGGAGGCAGCAGUGGGGAAUUUUGGACAAUGGGCGUAAGCCUGAUCCAGCCAUGCCGCGUGUCUGAAGAAGGCCUUCGGGUUGUAAAGGACUUUUGUCCGGGAGCAAAUCCCAGUGGUUAAUACCUACUGGGGCUGAGAGUACCGGAAGAAUAAGCACCGGCUAACUACGUGCCAGCAGCCGCGGUAAUACGUAGGGUGCAAGCGUUAAUCGGAAUUACUGGGCGUAAAGCGUGCGCAGGCGGUUGUGCAAGUCUGAUGUGAAAGCCCCGGGCUUAACCUGGGAACGGCAUUGGAGACUG
rnacentral:rRNA from 1 species